rnacentral:rRNA from 1 species
CUAUACCUGCAGUCGAGCGGACCGACGGGAGCUUGCUCCCUUAGGUCAGCGGCGGACGGGUGAGUAACACGUGGGUAACCUGCCUGUAAGACUGGGAUAACUCCGGGAAACCGGGGCUAAUACCGGAUGCUUGUUUGAACCGCAUGGUUCAAACAUAAAAGGUGGCUUUUCGCUACCACUUACAGAUGGACCCGCGGCGCAUUAGCUAGUUGGUGGGGUAACGGCUCACCAAGGCGACGAUGCGUAGCCGACCUGAGAGGGUGAUCGGCCACACUGGGACUGAGACACGGCCCAGACUCCUACGGGAGGCAGCAGUAGGGAAUCUUCCGCAAUGGACGAAAGUCUGACGGAGCAACGCCGCGUGAGUGAUGAAGGUUUUCGGAUCGUAAAACUCUGUUGUUAGGGAAGAACAAGUACCGUUCGAACAGGGCGGUACCUUGACGGUACCUAACCAGAAAGCCACGGCUAACUACGUGCCAGCAGCCGCGGUAAUACGUAGGUGGCAAGCGUUGUCCGGAAUUAUUGGGCGUAAAGCGCGCGCAGGCGGUUCUUUAAGUCUGAUGUGAAAGCCCCCGGCUCAACCGGGGAGGGUCAUUGGAAACUGGGGAACUUGAGUGCAGAAGAGGAGAGUGGAAUUCCACGUGUAGCGGUGAAAUGCGUAGAGAUGUGGAGGAACACCAGUGGCGAAGGCGACUCUCUGGUCUGUAACUGACGCUGAGGCGCGAAAGCGUGGGGAGCGAACAGGAUUACAUACCCUGGUAGUCCACGCCGUAAACGAUGAGUGCUAAGUGUUAGAAGAGUUUCCGCCCCUUUAUUGCUGCAGCAGACCGCGUUAGUCACUCCGCCUGGGGGAGUAGAGGCGGCAGGAGUUAGGAGUCAGAGGAGAUUAAGGAGGGGGCGCGCAGAGGCGGUGGGGAGCGUGGUGAGUUUAGUUGUGAAAGGAGACG